rnacentral:lncRNA from 1 species
GACUUGGAAAAUCCAAGUCACUGAGUGGGAUCGGCUAUAUGAAUCUUAGAACGCCAUUGUGCUCGGUCCUGUGUCAUGUCCUUCGUUAGAUCCAAGUAUUCUAAGUCUUUUCUUAGAGUCUCUUCCAAAGUUUUCCUAGGUCUUCCUCUACCCCUUCGGCCCUGAACCUCUGUCCCAUAGUCGCAUCUUCUAAUCGGAGCGUCAGUAGGCCUUCUUUGCACAUGUCCAAACCACCGUAAC